UAUUCUGCCCCAUGGGGAAGGAUGAGAAGCUUCGACUAAGGUUCGACUCGAGCGCCAGCGAGAGAACGUUGCCGCAGGCAACGGCCCGAAGGGCGAAGCGCUUUAGCGCCGAGUAAUCCUUCCCCCACCACUG
rnacentral:sRNA from 1 species